GAGAGAGAGAGAGAGAGAGAGAGUACAAGUCAUGGCAGGAAAGUUUUUUCAAAGUCGACAAAAGUGAUCAUGACUUUUGCGCGCACCACAUAUAGCGCUAUCCAUUAAGUUAUAUUAACUGAGGAUGGGCAAGAAUCAAGACGAGUUCGCACGGCAAGUUGUCAGAGUUUGAUCUAUUCCGAGCAGAGAUCGAUGGGUCUGAAUUCCUUCUUCCAUUUCAUAACAUUUUUCAUAUUAAUCGCAGCAGCAAUGUUGGCCAUGCAUCCGUAUCAGAUCUCUGCAGAUAUGAACGGAAGAAAACUUGGCAGGGCCGGACCAAAAAUACCCCUGCCCCUGACACCGGUUGGGAACAAUGGUGAAACCCCACAUCGCUAAAGGGAAGACUUAGUAGCAGUACUAUUCCUUAAUUUGGAGGGGGAUCGGAGUGAUAAUCAAUAUUGUAAUUAAAGGUUCCUUAUACAUACACAAUUAAAACAACAAGAGGGGAAUUCAGUUUCUACAUGCUAUUUAUUUUUCUAGGGAUCAUUGUAAUUGUUGGGUGUUUUUUCUUUACACUGCGUGAUAUAUAUGCUGCCCUUGGAAGGGAUGAUAAUGGAUAUAUAUAGUUUAUUCUAAGUUCAUAAACUUUGAGAAA